rnacentral:lncRNA from 1 species
CCUUUUUCAAAUAUUUUCCUAUGUUUUUCAGAAUAUCCAGGACAACAAUACAGCAAUGGCAUGUGUCAGUGACAUAGUCUUUAGCAUCUUCAACACCCAUACUGAAAAUAAGUGACAGCUUGCUUUGUAUCUGAGAUGACUUCAUCUUGAGAUGGAGCUGUGAAUGAUGUUUAAAGGAUUUUCAGAUGAGCAGUUGUCUGUUCCAGAUCAGCAGUUAAUAUGCACAUUAAAAAAAUUGUAAGACGUGA